GGAUUAGGCAUGCAAGUCGUGCGGCAGCAGGCCCCGCAAGGGGUGCUGGCGAGCGGCGUAAGGGAGAGUAACACGCGGGUACCUACCCUCAGGACCGGGAUAGCUGCGGGAAACUGCAAUUAAUACCGGAUAUGUCUCCGGACCAAAGGUGUAAUUCCUCCGGAGGAGGGGCCCACGUCCUAUCAGCUAGUUGGAGAGGUAACGGCUCACCAAGGCGACGACGGGUACGGGGUGUGAGAGCAUGCCCCCGCUCACUGGGACUGAGACACUGCCCAGACACCUACGGGUGGCUGCAGUCGAGAAUCUUCCGCAAUGGGCGAAAGCCUGACGGAGCGACGCCGCGUGCGGGAUGAAGGCCUUCGGGUUGUAAACCGCUGUCAGUGGGGAGCAAAUGCACGGGGGUUCUCCCUUGUGCUUGAGCGAUCCGCAGAGGAAGCGCAGGCUAAGUUCGUGCCAGCAGCCGCGGUAACACGAACUGCGCAAACGUUAUUCGGAAUCACUGGGCUUAAAGAGUUCGUAGGCGGCGCGUUAAGUCGGGUGUGAAAUCCCUCGGCUCAACCGAGGAAUUGCGCCCGAAACUGGCGUGCUUGAGUAAGAUAGAGGUGAGCGGAACUGAUGGUGGAGCGGUGAAAUGCGUUGAUAUCAUCAGGAACACCGGUGGCGAAAGCGGCUCACUGGGUCUUAACUGACGCUGAGGAACGAAAGCUAGGGUAGCGAACGGGAUUAGAUACCCCGG
rnacentral:rRNA from 1 species